rnacentral:lncRNA from 1 species
AACAGUCAUUGUAAAAACCGUAAAAUAAAUAAAUAAAUAAAUAGUAAUAAAAUUAGAUAACGAUAAUUUCAAUGGCGUUUCCAAAACAUUAAUUAAAAUAAUAGAAAUAACUACACUUAAUGAUUAUUUUUAUUACAGCUAAUAGCAUUUAGUCAUGCACAACAAUUCUUCUCCAAACCUCCCUAUAUUUUAUAGACCCUUGUCUCAUUUCCUUCACACAAAGUAAAUGCCAACUAAUGGCCAGCCAAGCAAAUUACACUUGUCCCUAGUACAACCCACAAGAGACACAAGUGGAGGCAUGCAUGCAAGACUAACCACGCAUGCACGCCAGAUGUAAUGCCUCUUCAAACCGACAUAGCUAUUCACCCCACUAUAAAUAGGAGCCAUCCUUUUCACUGUGGCCACACACAAUCAUCCGCUGGAGAAACCCCUCUGCCUUUUCACCUUGCCUUUUCACCUUCUGCCACACUGCUAUCCUCCCCUGCUGUGAAGCUCUUUGGGUUGCAUGCGCCACCAGGUACUAAUCAAGUACCUUGUUGUGUUAGCCCUUUUUGCUUGCUUUCUUAUCUAUCUCCACCUCGGUUUGAAUCAGUCCAUAAGCAUCUAUUCACCUUGAUCUAUUUACCUUGCUGUAAAAAGAGAAACAAUAGUUAGUGAAAAAAAACAUAAACUAGAUGGAGGAAAACAAAGACAUUGCAGUUUUGUGAUUCAUGUGUAGCUGUAAAAGAAAAUCUAUGUGUGUGUUCAUCUCUACCUUGUAUUAGAUCUGACAUGCUAAGAAUUAAAUCUUAGAAAUUACCCCAUUAUUAAGAUUGCAUGUGUAGCUUUGGGGCCAGACAAUCUGUGUAUGCUACUUGACCACUGUCAUUUUCAGUAAACAUUGGUUGGUUAAUGUUCUGUUAAGAAAUAAAUCUCAAGAUGGUAUGUCUCACUUGCACAUACCCUGUACCGGAAAAUAACCCAUUUAACUUUUGCACAAAUGAAAUCUUGCUAGAAUAUCUCACUCAUUUUUUUCCGGUUUCCCUUAGUAUAAUUUGAGUCUAUCAAUGGUGCUGUUCACUUGGUUGUUUGUGGGGUUCAGAGAGGAGUGUGCGCGCACACACAGUAGGAAUACUUAAUUUGUGGCAGCACCUAACCAUCACAAGCAAUUAACUUGCCACCCAUAGAUUUGUAGUAAGCCUUUAACAGUGGGGAUUCACUGGUUAAUUCCUAGUUUUGAGCUUAAUAAAAAGAAUCAUAGUAGUGCAGGGAUAGCAUAGUAGAGCCAAAAAUAAUGAUAAACAAUAUGGAGCAAAUCUGCAGACCACGUCCACACCACAAGAGUAAAGCUUGAUUAAUUCCUUGGUCUUGAGAUUAACAAGAAGCAUGGCAGUAAGGGGAGUCACGGCACAAACACUUGUAGUAGAAGCAAGAACACUGCACAGAGAGGAAUUUGGACUGGCACUUACACUAGUAGCAGUAGACAAAGGCAAGCCGGGCGCUGGUAGAGGCCAUGUUGCCGGAGCCGCGCCGGUGAAGCCGCUCGCACCUGACGGCCGUAGUUGCACGCCUCAUGCGUGCAGCUCUGCUGGAGGAAGAUGUAGGCAUGGAGACGUCGUUGCCGCUGUAGCCGAUGGCAAGCCCACCGGACCUGGAUCAGGCGGCACUAGGAUUGAGUGGUGGUGACGUUUUUGGCGGCGGCGGAUCAAAUAAAUAGGGGGAUAUGGUAGAGGGAAACGAGGAGAAUCUGUAGGUAUCUGCCGUGUCGCCGGAGAUGCCCGGACGGGACAGAUCGAGGCGACGGCGGCCGUGUUCUGUUCUUAGGGGAGAGAGAGAGAGGUGAGUGGGCUGGUUCUGUUCGUGGGACAACGAGAAGUUAAGUAGUCUCUCUGGAUAGAAACGGGCCUUAACCAGCGAAGUACUAGUAGUACAGUACUGGGCUACUGUUCUUUUUACUUAUCAUUUCUUUUACCACUCUCUGGACUGGAUGACAUACAUGCAUGCUACUCUGUUUUGGAUGGCUUAAUGCAUUUUAUCUUUCAAUGGAACACUAGGACGUAUCACCACUUAGUUAAUUACGUGUGGCUUGCUCAACAUGGCCGUGUUGCUGUAUGUUAGAUUUUUAAUUAGGAAAAUAAAUAAUAAUAUAAACACGUUCCUGAAAUAAUUAUCAGGAGUCGAUCUCGGACCCGUAGGAGCCACGUCUGGUGGUUCCGAGUUGAUCGAAGCGCUACCCAGCAAGUCGUCAUCUCCUUGACCAUGUCUUGAUAAUUGUUUUCUGGGCUAUGGGUCAUUUCUAAAAUUUUGCAUAAGAAUUAAAAAUAAAUAUUUUUCAUAAAUGAAAUGAGAUUUGGAUCAGGUGGAUCCACUAAUUUGGCAAUUGGACCAAAUCAGGUGAAGUAUCUGUAUUAAGUAGUUGUGACCCGGGCAGGGCUACAUUAUAAAUAAAUAUUUGGUGGGUAGGGGAGCUUAUGUUGGUGAAGGCAAUCCGGAUAGGGUUGGCUUGGAUGGCGGGCUCCUUUACAUAGGGUAUCACAUUAGGACACAACCAACGGGCGCUUACUUCAAAAGCGGCGCAAAUCGUAUUGACCAUAGACCUGAAAUGGGACGGGCUGAACCGACUACCCAUGCCAAGUAGCUGCCUCUGCAUGGGUGAGAAGGUGGUUGUAGCCGGGUAGGUACAGUCACCCUAGGGCGGGACCGCCGGUCAGGGGUCUCGACCCGCGGGCCUUUAGUAAGGCAAGGUGGAAAAGCAAAGGUAGUGUACGGGUUGGUUAAAGUUCUGGUUCCUUGGUCUAGUCGUGCGCACGGGUAGCGCAUGGACGACUUGUACCAUGUGAUGCUAUGGGAAAAGCAGUACACCUCUGAUCAAAGUAAAUGUGAUAUCACUCCCAGCUUCCGGGAUUGGAAGUGCGUCGUGUGGGUUUUCCUCUAACACAGGAUGUAAGAUCCCACGUCGCUCUAUCGCCGGUAGAUUUUAUGAAUAAAAUUUGGUUUUCAACAAAAUGGGUUAAGGGAAAAUAUUUUUACCUACAUAGUAUUUUGAGAUAAUGGCUCGGUGGUGGUAGCCGUGGCCGACGAAGUUUUUCCUCUUGAAAAACUCAUACAUCCACUUUUCCCGGCGACUUGCGGAGUACGUAUUUUAUACGUACUCAGCUGCACUUAUGUUGUUUUUCAGAGCAAGAGAGUUAUGAGAACUCCGAGGCGAUAGAGAAUGGUACUUAUGAUGAGUCUGGUCAUUUUAACGACUUCGGUUAUACUGAAGUGGAGUAUGAUUAUGAGGAAGUCGACAAUCAAGGCUAUGAAGAGUAGAUGCCCUUCAUGGUUGGUUGAAAAGGCUCGUACUAGAGGCAGGUGACGAUCUAUCGUCAUGGCCGCUUAGGCUUAGUCGACACUUGAGGUGUCUAUGUAAUAAAAGCUUGCCUACUCAUGGCAGCCGCUCCGUCUUGUACAUGAUACUGUUCUCCUUAACUGAUCUUGGCGCAACUCUAAAGUGACGGCUUCCAUUACGCCUGGCUCUGUUGGACGUAACGGGGCGUCACAGAAGAGAUGGUAUUAGAGCAACAUUAAGGAAACAGUCACGUACUUGAUUAGAAACCAUCUGAGCCCUAGGAAAGAUAGGUUCCCUCCUUACCUAAAAUAAACUAAAAGUUUUCUUUAAAAAAAUGACUCAAGUCAAGUGAAGAUUAAAUAAUUUAGACCACACAAUUAUGCAAGAAAAAUGUGUUUAUUUAUUUAUUUACUGUCCUUGGUAAAAUUAAUUUUACAUUGUGUUAUAACUAACUAAAUUCUUAAAUUGCUUAAUGUAGGAUGACGAGUGGUAGGAUGUUUGGUAUGGAUGCUGAGUAUGGUGGUUUUGCUAUGUUCUUGGUUGAGCUUCUUGGUCUUCUGGGUGUGUUGAUUGCACCGUACUACACAGUGUUUCAUGACCCGUGUUCCACGGGGUACUUAGUCACAGUGCACAUUCCUGAGAGCUUAGAUGUCCCUUCUAGGUACAGUGUUGCAUGUUACGACUUUGUUUCAGCACUUCAGGGUGCGGCACGGGAUGCCGCUUUACACCUUUUCCACGCCUACCACCCUCUCCUUCAGUACGUGGGCAGAGGCGAGUGGCCUCAUCAGCUAGAGGAUGCAGGGAGUUCGUCUACACCUAUGCCCAUUGUCGCUCCUUCGCCUUUUGCGUCCACUUCCACUUUCCCUCCACUUUCACCACGUCCUCCUGUUUUACCUCCCACAUUUUUACCACCACCAGCUUCGACUGCCGCUCGUCCACCUCUUUACCCGACAAUCCCACCCGCUCGUGCAGACCACCCAGCUCCUAGAGUUAUCAGGGGUUCCUCCUCUCGUGCAUCAUCGCGUCCCUCCACACUGUACGAGCGUCCACCUGCACCUCAGCUUGUUCAGGACCUAUUAGAUCAGGUUGACACUGUUCAGAGGCGCUGUUCCUAGCUUGAGCGGGCGAACAGUGAGAUGUCCACUGUGUUGAGGGACUACACCCAUCCGUGUAUGGCCCUCAACCCUCUUCAGAUCAACAGCUCACCUUCCGCCUCUCCAGGCCGGGUAGGGUACCCGAUUGACUAGGAGUCUCUUGUCGCCGUCGAGCCUUCCUCUCAAGUUGCUCCUACUCUGAGUUCCAUUGUAGUCCCACCACAUCCAGAGCACACUCCCCACACUCCACCAGGUUCUCCAGCUACCGACCCUGCUCCACCUUCUCCCGAUGGCACCCCCGACUUUUCAGUGAUUGGCGUCACUUACUCAGAGCUUCUAGCACUUGACUCCCGCCAGGUGUCUUCUCGGCCCCUGAAGUACCUUCGUGUCGCUUCCGACGUCACACCCUCUGAGCACACUUCCUCUGAGUACCCUCUUAGCACCAUCAGCGCACCCGAGUCUGACGCUGCUGCACCGAGUGUGUCUCUACCUGCACCGACUUCUUCCCUCGACCCUGACUUGCUCCUCACCGUUUCACCUAGUCCUCUUGUCAGGGAGGAUUGACGUGCUACUACUAGUAGUAGUUAGUAUUCUGGCAAGAUUGUAGCAUCAUAGCUACACCUCCCAGAGUUGGUUCCGCCACUUAUUAGAUGUUUAGGCAGAUGCAUGGAGGCUGUCCUUUUGGAUUCUGUACAUAUCUGGAAAGGUCUUGGUAGCCGUAGCUACCCUUCCAGAGUUUGCACAGCCGUAGUUAGCCAGACUAGUUCUGACAGACAGAUAGGUCGGCAGGUAUACUUUUGUUCUAGGUACAUGUGUAGAUAGUCAUGGUAGCUUGAUGAUGUGCAACAGAGUCAUGUGUGGUGUUGUUGCUAUGAUAUGUGAUGUAUCCAUGUGGACUGGUGGACUUAUGGAUGUACUGAUAUUCUAUUACUAGAUGGUCUCGUGUGAUGCAUAUGCCAUGCCUCUAUAUUCAUUUUAAAUUCUGGUUCUUUUUAUGCUCCUUGCUCUGAAUGAUGGAAUACUGUAUGUGAUGUUGUUGCCACAUUGUUGCCAAUGUCUCAUAAUGGCGUCUGAUGUAUGGUAGAUUUUUUUUGAAUGAUCUCUUCAUUCAAGUACAUGCCUUUGGUACAUCACAUGUUUGGCUAGUAUUUAUAUUACAUGCUGAUGUUGCUACAUUUUUCCUAGCACUUCAUGAGUUCAAUUGAUGUAUCUCACACUUGAUGAUUGCAUGCUUUUAAUGCGGUACGUGAAGAACUUGUGUGUGCAUGUGCACGUGCAAAUGGCUCUAUUUUUGACUUAGUGAUUAAUCUCUUUCCUCUGUUAAAAAAACACUUUGUUUGACUGCUUUUAUUCUUCGGCCAACAACAAGUCAAAAAAAUAUUUUGCAAAAUUUUGUAGUAUGCCGCUGUUAAGUACACUGUUUAAAUUGAUGCUCCAAAACAAGAAGCGUGAAGUGUACUGUUUGAGCUAAAAUCCCACCUCUAAUCAAAUAAAUAAAAUACUUUCACAUGUAGUAGCUAUCGUUAUAACCUAUGCCUUGCCCACCAGAUCGGUAGCGAUGGCAUCUGGUAGUCAGUCGUUCGAAGACAAUGGGAACCCAUCAGAUUUAGCACCCGAGUCACUAAGGAACAUGGGAGAUUUGUCGUCUAGAGUGACGUUACCACCACCUCCACCAUUACCCCAUCAUGCCCCGGGAUCCGAUCAAAUUUCUCUAAUAUAUCAGUGGAUGGAGCAGUCUCGUCGAGAUUCUUUAGAACACCAGAAUAAGUUCAUGGAGCAAAUGUUCGGUAUGAUGAGAGGCCAACUGACUAAAAACCCAGAACAAGGUGUCACGAUUGGAGACUUCCAAAAGACUAGACCACCAACCUUUUCAACCGCCACAGAUCCAUUAGCCGCAGAUGAUUGGUUGAUGGACAUAGAGCUGAAACUUAACACUGUGGGAUGCACGGACCAAGAAAAAGUUCGGUAUGCGUCCCAUCAGUUAAUUGGUCCUGCUGCCACAUGGUGGAGAAAUGUCCAAAUUAUCAUACCCGAAAACCACAUAGUUACUUGGGACGAAUUUAAGAGGAGAUUUCGAGAUAACUACGUCCCGCAAAGUGCGAUGGAAAUAAAGAGGAAGGAAUUCCUGAACCUCAAGCAAGGGUCUAAGACCAUCUCAGAGUACCUAGAUGAGUUUAACUCACUAUCCCGCUAUGCACCAGAGGACACAAACACUGAGACCAAAAAGUUGUACCGGUUCAUAGAAGGAUUGAACCCGUCCAUACAGCUUAUUAUAGCUCCUAUAAAAAUAACCGAGUUUCGGGAACUAGUAGACCGACUCAUUACAAUUGAGAACCGGCAAAUCGCCGUAGAGGAAGAGCGAAGGAAGAAAGCUAGGAUGGACCCAAGGUUUGCCAUGAGAAGUGGGAAUCAUCCGGUUGGCCUAGUCCGCGUGCCAAUGGUCGGGCCCAUCCGUCCUCCUUUCCGUCAAGCUCCUAGACCACCUUUUAUGCCUCUGAGAGCCCCUAUCAAAUGUCACGUGUGCAGUGGACCACACUUGGCUCGAGAUUUCCCAAAGGCGAGUGUUGUCUGUUUUGGUUGUGGACAAAAGGGACAUUACAAAAAUCAAUGCCCAAGCAAGGGUCAACCACAAUCUAGCACAAAUGGAGCUAUUCCACCUCAAAAUAAGCGCCAGGCUAAUUCAGCACAAGUACAUGGGAGUGCGUCCACUGCCAACCGCGGGCGUGGUCGUGGCGGUCUUGCACAUGGACCAUUCUGUUUGGCACAUAUGGAUGUGGUACAAGUGGAAUCGGCUUCAGACAUAGUGACGGGUAACCUACUAAUCCCUCCCGGAGUAGGACUAGUAUUGUUUGACCCAGGAGCAACACAUUAUUUCAUAUCGCAAUGCUUUGUUGAGACGCAUAAUCUGGACCGGACCCCCCUAGCCAAACCCAUAAAAGUAGAUUCACCUGGAGGCCCAAUAAUUGUUGAACAUGUCUGCCACAACCGUCCCAUUUGCAUUGAGGGCAUAACCUUUAAUGCUAGCCUAUUUGUCAUUGGCCUAAGAGGGUUAGACGUUAUUCUUGGAAUGGACUGGUUAGCGAGUCAUGGAGCAAGAAUGGAUUGUGCAGAAAAAUCCAUAUCCUUGAGAAGCCCAGAAAAUAAACGGAUAACCUUUAAUAGUAGAAGAACCCGAGCGAAAUCAAACCAAGCCUCAAUAGCCACUUUGGAAAAAAAGGAAGCUAAAGAUGUACCUGUAGUCCAAGAAUUUUUGGACGUAUUUCCGGAAGAAUUACCCGGGAUGCCACCAGACAGGGAGAUAGAGUUCACAAUUGAUAUCAUCCCAGGUACGUCACCCAUAUCAAAACGAGCAUACCGUAUGAAGAACUAAAGGAAUUAAGGAAACAAUUGGAUGAACUAGAAGAAAAGGGGUUUAUUCGACCAAGUGUGUCACCUUGGGCAGCACCAGUCUUAUUUGUUAAGAAAAAGGACGGAAGUAUGAGGCUAUGUGUGGAUUAUCGAGCCUUGAGUGAGGCGACCAUUAAGAAUAAGUACCCACUACCCCGGAUAGAUGAUCUAUUUGACCAAUUGAAAGGAGCUACCGUCUUCUCAAAAAUAGAUCUCCGGUUAGGGUACCACCAACUAAAAGUAAAGGAAGAAGAUAUACCUAAGACUACUUUCAUAACCUGAUAUGGUCACCAUGAAUUCAUGGUUGUUCCCUUCGGGCUCACAAAUGCACCAGCAGUUUUCAUGAACCUGAUGAACCUAGUCCUCAUGCCCUACUUAGACAAGUUUGUGGUAGUGUUCAUCGAUGAUAUCCUCGUAUACUCUCGAAGUAUCGAGGAACAUACUGAACACCUCCGGAUAGUGCUACAGACCUUGAGAGAAAAACAACUCUAUGCCAAAUUCAAAAAGUGUGAAUUUUGGCUAGAAGAAGUGUCCUUCUUAGGACACAUUAUAUCAGGGAAAGGGAUAGCUGUAGACCCUGCUAAGGUGGAUGCAAUGUUGGCAUGGAAAUCCCAACCAACGUACCAGAGAUUCGUAGCUUCCUUGGUUUAGCUGGAUAUUAUCGGAGGUUCAUAGAAGGCUUCUCCCAGAAAGCAGCCCCUAUGACCAAAUUACUAAGGAAGGGAGUUCCAUUUGACUGGAAUGACAAGUGUGAGCAAAGUUUUCAGGAGUUAAAGAAACGGCUCACAACCACUCCUGUAUUGGUUCUACCCGAACCAGGCAAAGCGUUCACAGUAUAUUGCGAUGCCUCUAGAGUUGGUUUGGGAUGUGUGCUAAUGCAAGAUGGGAGAGUCAUAGCCUAUGCCUCUCGCCAGUUAAAGCCCCAUGAACAAAACUACCCCACCCAUGACCUCGAGUUAGCUGCAGUGGUAUUUGCGUUGAAGAUGUGCAGGCAUUACCUUUAUGGAAACUGUUGUGAACUAUACACGGACCAUAAAAGCCUCAAGUAUAUCUUCACGCAAAAGGAGUUGAAUAUGAGACAAAGAUGGUGGUUAGAACUCAUUAAGGAUUAUGACCUUGGUGUUAACUACCACCCAGGAAAGGCUAAUGUGGUGGCAGACACCCUUAGCCGAAAAACCUCACGCAAUUAUGUCAAGAUUCCCAACCUAUGAUAAGCAUCUGAUACAUGAGCUGGGAAUGAUGGGAAUUGAAUUCAUACAUAAACCGGGUGAGAAAAUCCUAACUACAUUAACAAUCAUACCCAAUUUGUUGGACGAAAUCAAGGAAAACCAAACCAAAGAUGAGUUCAUUUGUGAGGAAAAACGCAUAAUACAAGAAGGUCAACCAUCAGAGUUUCGAAUAGCAGAAGACGGGUCACUUUGGUAUAAAACCCGAUUAUGUGUGCCAAAUAUCCUUGAUAUUAAGCAAAUAAUACUCCAGGAGGCACACAACACUCCGUACACCAUACACCCUGGUAGCACAAAAAUGUACCGCGAUGUCAAAGGUACAUUUUGGUGGAGAAAUAUGAAAAGAGAAAUUGCUCAGUAUGUGGACGAGUGUGACACUUGUAAGAGAGUAAAGGCAGAACACCAGCGACCACCAGGAUUGUUGCAACCUCUCCAAACUCCACAAUGGAAAUGGGAGGAAAUCCACAUGGACUUUAUCACCGGACUGCCCAAGACAAGAAAUCGAGAGGAAAUCAUAUGGGUCAUAGUUGACCGACUCAUUAAAUCUGCCCAUUUUAUCCCUUUAGCCCCGGGUUGCUCCAGAGAAAAAUUGGCUGAGCUAUAUAUCCACAGGAUAGUAGCUCUACAUGGAACACCUUCCAAAAUAGUGUCAGAUCGUGGAUCUAUGUUUACAUCCAAGUUCUGGGAAAAAUUACAAGAAGCGUUAGGAAUAAAAUUGGAUUUUAGUACCUCUUACCACCCCCAGACUAGCGGUCAAGUCAAGAGGGUGAACCAAAUCAUAGAAGACAUGCUAAGGGCUUGCAUGCUAGAUUUUGGUGACUCAUGAAGCAAGCACUUACCCUUAGCAGAGUUUGUGUAUAACAAUAGCUACCAAUCUAGUAUUGGUAUGUCCCCAUUUGAAGCCUUAUACGGUUGAAGAUGCUGAACCCCAAUAUGUUGGGUGGAAACCGGAGAAAAGAAACUCUUAGCACCCGACUUGGUCCAGGAAACCGAGGAAAAAGUCCGUAUAAUUAGAGAGCGGCUUAAGACAGCACAAACCCGGCAAAAGAGCUAUGCGGACAGGAGACGACGCGAUAUACAAUACCAACCCGGAAACUUUGUUUAUUUAAAAGUCUCACCAAUUAAAGGUGUCAAGCGCUUUGCAGUACAAGGAAAACUAAGUCCGCGAAAUAUUGGUCCCUAUCGGAUCUUAAAAAGAAGAGGGACAGUGGCAUACAAAUUAGAAUUGCCAAUGCACCUACAAGGGAUUCAUGAUGUAUUUCAUGUUUCCCAAUUACGCAAGAGCGUAAAUCCACCAUUUGAGAGAGUCUCGGAGGAAGAAUUAACCCUCCGAAAGGACCUAACAUAUGAGGAGCAUCCUAGUCGUAUUUUGGACACUGAGGAAAAGAAACUCAGGAGUAAAACAAUUAAAUAUUGCAAGGUGCAAUGGGGAAAUCAUCCGGUGCGAGAAGCGACUUGGGAAAAAGAAGAUGACCUCCGAGAAAAAUAUCCUUACCUUUUCAAGGUGCGACUCAACAAAUUUCGAGGAUGAAAUUUUCUCUAAGGAGGAAAGGAUGUAAAAACCGUAAAAUAAAUAAAUAAAUAAAUAAAUAGUAAUAAAAUUUGAUAACGAUAAUUUCAAUGGCGUUGCCAAAACAUUAAUUAAAAUAAUAGAAAUAACUACACUUAAUUAUUAUUUUUAUUAUAGCUAAUAGCAUUUAGUCAUGCACAACAAUUCUUCUCCAAACCUCCCUAUAUUUUAUAGACCCUUGUCUCAUUUCCUUCACACAAAGUAAAUGCCAACUAAUGGCCAGCCAAGCAAAUUACACUUGUCCCUGGUACAUCCCGCAAGAGACACAAGUGGAGGCAUGCAUGCAAGACUAACCACGCAUGCAUGCCAGAUGUAAUGCCUCUCCAAACCGACAUAGCUAUUCACCCCACUAUAAAUAGGAGCCAUCCCUUUCACUGUGGCCACACACAAUCAUUCGCUGGAGAAACCCCUCUGCCUUUUCACCUUGCCUUUUCACCUUCUGCCACACUGCUAUCCUCCCCUGCUGUGAAGCUCUUUGGGUUGCAUGCGCCACCAGGUACUAAUCAAGUACCUUGUUGUGUUAGCCCUUCUUGCUUGAUUUCUUAUCUAUCUCCACCUCAGUUUGAAUCAGUCCAUAAGCAUCUAUUCACCUUGAUCUAUUUACCUUGCUGUAAAAAGAGAAACAAUAGUUAGUGAAGAAAAACAUAAACUAGAUGGAGGAAAACAAAGACAUUGCAGUUUUGUGAUUCAUGUGUAGCUGUAAAAGAAAAUCUAUGUGUGUGUUCAUCUCUACCUUGUAUUAGAUCUGACAUGCUAAGAAUUAAAUCUUAGAAAUUAACCCAUUAUUAAGAUUGCAUGUGUAGCUUUGGGGCCAGACAAUCUGUGUAUGCUACUUGACCACUGUCAUUUUCAGUAAACAUUGGUUGGUUAAUGUUCUGUUAAGAAAUAAAUCUCAAGAUGGUAUAUCUCACUUGCACAUACCCUGUACCGGAAAAUAACCCAUUUAACUUUUGCACAAAUGAAAUCUUGCUAGAAUAUCUCACUCAUUUUUUUCCGGUUUCCCUUAGUAUAAUUUGAGUCUAUCAUUGGUGCUGUUCACUUGGUUGUUUGUGGGGUUCAGAGAGGAGUGUGCGCACACACACAGUAGGAAUACUUAGAUUUAAUUUGUGGCAGCACCUAACCAUCACAAGCAAUUAACUUGCCACCCAUAGAUUUGUAGUAAGCCUUUAACAGUGGGGAUUCACUGGUUAAUUCCUAGUUUUGAGCUUAAUAAAAAGAAUCAUAGUAGUGCAGGGAUAGCAUAGUAGAGCCAAAAAUAAUGAUAAACAAUAUGGAGCAAAUCUGUAGACCACGUCCACACCACAAGAGUAAAGCUUGAUUAAUUCCUUGGUCUUGAGAUUAACAAGAAGCAUGGCAGUAAGGGGAGUCACGGCACAAACACUUGUAGUAGAAGCAAGAACACUGCACAGAGAGGAAUUUGGACUGGCACUUACACUAGUAGCAGUAGACAAAGGCGAGCCGGGCGCUGGUAGCGGCCAUGUUGCCGGAGCCGUGCCGGUGAAGCCGCUCGCACCUGACGGCCGUAGUUGCACGCCUCAUGCGUGCAGCUCUGCUGGAGGAAGAUGUAGGCAUGGAGACGUCGUUGCCGCUGCAGCCGGUGGCAAGCCCACCGGACCUGGAUCAGGCGGCGCUAGGAUUGAGUGGUGGCGACGUUUUUGGCGGCGGCGGAUCAAAUAAAUAGGGGGAUAUGGUAGCGGGAGACGAGGAGAAUCUAUAAGUAUCUGCCGUGUCACCGGAGAUGCCCGGACGGGGCAGAUCGAGGCGACGGCGGCCGUGCUCUGUUCUUGGGGGAGAGAGAGAGGUGAGUGGGCUGGUUCUGUUCGUGGGACAACGAGAAGUUAAGUAGUCUCUCUGGAUAGACAUGGGUCUUAACCAACGAAGUACUAGUAGUACAGUACUG